AUGAAGGACGUUACUAACGACGAUAUGCUUUGGGGAGCUGUAAGUAAGCUUUGAUCCAGAGAUUUCCGAAUGGGGAAACCCAGCAUGAGUUAUGUCAUGUUAUCGAUAUGUGAAUACAUAGCAUAUCAGAAGGCACACCCGGAGAACUGAAACAUCUUAGUACCCGGAGGAAGAGAAAGAAAAUUCGAUUCCCUUAGUAGCGGCGAGCGAAACGGGAAGAGCCCAAACCAACAAGCUUGCUUGUUGGGGUUGUAGGACACUCUAUACGGAGUUACAAAGGACGACAUUAGACGAAUCAUCUGGAAAGAUGAAUCAAAGAAGGUAAUAAUCCUGUAGUCGAAAAUGUUGUCUCUCUUGAGUGGAUCCUGAGUACGACGGAGCACGUGAAAUUCCGUCGGAAUCUGGGAGGACCAUCUCCUAAGGCUAAAUACUCUCUAGUGACCGAUAGUGAACCAGUACCGUGAGGGAAAGGUGAAAAGCACCCCGGAAGGAGAGUGAAAUAGAACCUGAAACCGUGUGCUUACAAGUAGUCAGAGCCCGUUAAUGGGUGAUGGCGUGCCUUUUGUAGAAUGAACCGGCGAGUUACGAUUUGAUGCAAGGUUAAGCAGUAAAUGUGGAGCCGUAGCGAAAGCGAGUCUGAAUAGGGCGUUUAGUAUUUGGUCGUAGACCCGAAACCAGGUGAUCUACCCUUGGUCAGGUUGAAGUUCAGGUAACACUGAAUGGAGGACCGAACCGACUUACGUUGAAAAGUGAGCGGAUGAACUGA
rnacentral:rRNA from 1 species